UUGAUUCCAAAUUAAUUUUUAUAUAAAAACAAAAUUACUAAUAAAUAAGCUCUUUCUGACAAAACUUUUUGCACAUAAGUGCAUUCAUUCCUUGUAGUGACAAGUUAGUUAAGUGUAUUUUGAUAUGAUCAAUAGGAUUGAAUGGCUUAUAUCGGUCUUCAUAACUAACAUCUUGAUGCCUUUAGGUAACAUAGCAACUUUUAUUUCCUAAGCAAAAGGGUUUCUUCGGAGCUUUGAGUCCGAGGAAUGUUGGUGGGGCUACUAUUUUUCUUUCUAUAGCUUCCAUUUUGGCUUGCUGCAAAGAGUCGCAACAAGGAGAACAUUCCUACUUAUGAGUGGGUAACAUUGGUAGCCUAGUGAGAGUAAAUGACAAACGAGUUAGAAAUUGAAAAGGAAGAGAGUUCAAGGUUACUUAACUGCGAGACACGACGAGGAGCCUCUAAGGAUAACUUUAAGAACUCUUCCGGCUUCACUUACUCCUUAAGAGAAAGAAACUCCAAAAUGAGUUGAAGAAGAAGCAGCAUAAACUUAAGGAUUGUCAUUUAGGAGCCAAGGGAGCUUAGACA
rnacentral:lncRNA from 1 species